CUUCCACGGCUGUGUGAGGCUCAUUCAUUUCCUCUCUAGAUAUUAACUAUUGGCCUGCUGUGGAGCAGGAAAGAAGGGGAUGAUGUUUUUCGGGUCUCCAGUUAGGACCAGGAAUGGACCAUAAACUGCCUCCACUUCUGACAAUACUGGCACCAAGAUUCAGGUGGUGCCAUGGGGAGGCAGGAGUAGCUGGAGAUAUUUUCUACCUGUGGUGCCAGACCAGUUAAGCUGACUGUGUGACACUGGUCACAGGAGCCUUUUGGUGCCACCUGUCAGAAGUCUCUAGGCUGGCAGCUGCUCCUGCUAUCCACCUGUCUCUUUCUGUUCUCUUUGGAGAUGGUUUCUCACCCGCCUGCUGCCUGUCUUCUCACCCUGCUCCCCCUACAGCGUUUUUGGAAGGGAGCAGAUGGGCAUGAAUGUCACACUGGCCAUCUCUUUGCCUGUGCCGGGCACAGGCUGGCUCACCUGCCCCAGCUAAUGGAGUCAGAAUGAGUGUGGGGUAAUCUCUCUUACUCUUUACUCUUACCACAAUGGUGGCUUCAGGAGCCAUCAGAGAUGACAUGGCUCCCUACUUUCCGCAUGGAAUAAAACCUCACCGUUUAGGCUGGAGGCAUGGGUGGUGCCGCUGUUUGGCCUUCUGCCUAAUGGCUUCUCAGCACCAAGCUCACCAAGCUCACAGCAUACAUGUCACUCCCAAACAUGCCCCCACUCAACCAUCUUUAUGGGGAAAGCACGUCUCCCACAUGAAAACUCUGAAGGCAUCAUGGGCUUGCCUUGGGCUCCGCCUCUGUACAGCUCUGGAGCUUUGAGUUACUUAGCAAUCUCUGAGUCUCUCUACCUCCUCAUGUCAAAGGUAGGGCUGGAGAGCCUGACCCACAGGGUUUUGUAGUGAUUAGAGGAGAGUGUGUCUGUCAGGCAGGUCACCUGGGAACACCAGCUGGCUGAUGCUGUUGGACCUGCUGACCCCAGGACCUGUUCUCUCAUCCAGUCAGCUGGCACCUGCUACCCCACAUGGCUGCCUCUGUGGCCUUCCCUGCUCUUCUUCUGGGCACCUGGUAACUGAGAACAGACAUGCGGCAGCUACCCUUCCUCCUCGGGCUGUCAACCAGUGUCAGGUGUGCUUUCUGUGUUUUCCCAAGGUGGAAUGGCUUCAUAAGAAGCCCUCUGGAUGAUAUUCCUGGAAAGACUUUGCUAAGAGUAAAUGCUGAAUGUGAGCCAUGGAUAGGAGUGGCCAUCGCUGCUCAGGUCAAUGGUGGGUGAGGCUCCUCUUGCCUGGAGACAGAGAAAUGAUAAGAUGGGGUGAGGUCAAUCUAGGACCUCCACAUCAGCUGUUAGUGAAUACAGAGCUGAGGGGCUGGAACUGGGUAAAGGAAACGGGUUACAUUCAGGUUACAUAAAGGCGAUGAGUAUGGCUUAGCCCAGGCUGCCAAGGCCUUUUUCUAAAGGCCAGGCCCCACCACCUGGCCGCUCCCAGGGUCUCUGGCAGGGAGGAAUGGCUUAGCAGAUGAAGGGAUGAAUGAAUGAGCAGAUAAACUUCACCAGCAGGACCUGGCAACCACCAGCCAGGGGAACCAAGAGAGACCACUCUACACUGACUGGCACCGAUGACAUGCAGAGAUAGGGAUGAUGAGGAAGAUGAUGAUGAAACAACUGAGCGUGCGUACCCACUCCAGACCAAGUCUGUACAGAACCUUUCCCAUGGGCUUAUUCAUUCGAACUUUGCAACAGUCCUGUUCCCAUUUUGCACAUGAAGCAAUGAAGGAUUAGGGAAGUCUCACCCCUCAUCCAAGUCAACAAGGGCCUGGCUCAACCCCAGGUCCCUCUGCCGCUAGAGCUCCUAUUUCUCACCACUUUCUUCCCCACCUUGCUGCACUUGUUGGGUUUAGCAACUCACCAGCUCUGUCUCACCAGCUGAGCUGCUAGUGCGUUGGGAUGCAAUUGGAUAGUGUCCCCACUGGUCACCUUUCCAAGUAGCUGACACACAAGUCUUGGUAGGGAUCUUUCAGCAAAGCCACUCUCUUGAGCCCUCCUACUCUGCUCUAAGCUAGGCUCAGACAACGGCCUUGAGCAAUAUUACCCAUCAUCCAAUGUGACAGCUGAGCUGUCAGGAACCCCCCAUCCCCACCCCAUUCUCCCACUCCUCCUCUUGGGAACAGCUGGGGGCAUAUUAGAGGCAUUGGGCCUGGACAUGGAGCCAUUUCUGACAAAAGCAAUGACUUCAGUGCUGACACUAUAUCCGUGCCUCUCAGUCCAUACAUUCAGGCCUUCUAAAAGCACUUGGAGAGACACAAGACCCACCAGCAAUCCAUCUAGGACAGGAAGAUUAAGUGGUUUUUCUGUCUUCAGGGGAGAACAAAGAUGUCUAAGGAAGGAAAGAAAGCAGGCUUCUGAAAAAGCAGUGGCUAGCAGACAUAUACAGUGGGCACUGGGGGAAAAAGCAGAGCCAUGCAGACCAGCUCCAUCCUCACAGUUGGGCAGAGCACAGAGAUGAGUCAUCAGACUACCAUGGUAGGAUCAGCAGCAGCAGGAAGGUAGGGGCAAGUCUUGAGCAGGUGACAUCAUCAGAGAAGGCUUCCUAAGAGGAGGUAACCUAUAAGGGAGAAGGGAAUGCCCAAAGGUCUGGAGAAUUAAAGAACAAAGAAAUGGCUAAGCAAGGGAUUGGUAGGAAGGCUAGGGCUGGAGGGGCCAGCUGUGGGGCAGGCAAGGCAACGUCCAGUCAGCUUUAACAAGACCUGUGGGCUCUAUCUGGACAGUCAUGAAUGAUAAGAACAGAGCAACAUUUAUUUUACAAAGUGAUCCUGGUAGCACAGAGCUUGGCUGAAGGUUGCUGGGAGCAGACAACAAUGUUGUGGCCAGGGAAAAAAGGGCUGGAUCACAGGCAUGGAUGGGAAAUGAAUGUGUGCACUAGCACAUACGAAGUAGAGCAGGGCAGAGGGGAAGGGAGGCCCAGGUCCCUUGAAAGCUGGAAGGAGGUGGAAAACUUCACCAAGCUUAGAGACAGGAAUGGAUUUAGGACAAAGGGUCACAGUUCACUAGGAACACAGGAAAAUUAACUCCAGUUCUUGGUCCAAUUAAAGGGUUGUACAACCACA